rnacentral:rRNA from 1 species
GAUGAACGCUGGCGGCGUGCCUAAUACAUGCAAGUCGAGCGAACAGAUGAGGAGCUUGCUCCUCUGACGUUAGCGGCGGACGGGUGAGUAACACGUGGAUAACCUACCUAUAAGACUGGGAUAACUUCGGGAAACCGGAGCUAAUACCGGAUAAUAUAUUGAACCGCAUGGUUCAAUAGUGAAAGACGGUUUUGCUGUCACUUAUAGAUGGAUCCGCGCCGCAUUAGCUAGUUGGUAAGGUAACGGCUUACCAAGGCAACGAUGCGUAGCCGACCUGAGAGGGGGAUCGGCCACACUAGAACUGAAACACGCUCAAGACUACUACGGGAGGCAGCAGUAGGGUACCUUCCGCAAUGGGCGAAAGCCUGACGGAGCAACGCCGAGUGAGAGAUGAAGGUCUUCGGAUCGUAAAACUCUGUUAUUAGUGAAGAACAAAUGUGUAAGUAACUAUGCACGUCUUGACGGUACCUAAUCAGAAAGCCACGGCUAACUACGUG